UACGUAGGGUACGAGCGUUGUCCGGAUUUAUUGGGCGUAAAGCGAGCGCAGGCGGUUUCUUAAGUCUGAUGUGAAAGCCCCCGGCUCAACCGGGGAGGGUCAUUGGAAACUGGGAGACUUGAGUGCAGAAGAGGAGAGUGGAAUUCCAUGUGUAGCGGUGAAAUGCGUAGAUAUAUGGAGGAACACCAGUGGCGAAGGCGACUCUCUGGGCUGUAACUGACGCUGAGGCGCGAAAGCGUGGGGAGCAAACAGG
rnacentral:rRNA from 1 species